AUAAGGGGAAUUCUGCCAUGUCAGAAAUGCCUCUCCUGCAGUCAGACCAAACCAAACCAGUCCACCUGCAUGACUCAUGCUGCAAUCUAGGCAUCUCAAGGCCAGCCCUGGCAGCCAAAGUCUUUGCCACAGAGGGCUUGGGAAGGCCCUUAUUGAUGUGGCAAGACAUGGCCAAAAACCACUCUGACGGUAGAUGCUCCAUGACUGAAUGGUGAGUCAGCCGUGGCAUAAUCCAGCCGUUGCCACAUCCCAGGACCUGUCUUACAUACUUUAAACAAGAUAGAUGCUGCCAGAGCCUGGAUGGAGAAGGGACAGAAGGGAGGGUGAAGAAGUGUAGGUAGAAGAACUCUAGGUAAAAAGAAGAGCUGCAGGGCUGCCAAACUACAGAUGGCCUGAAAUCUCCACAGAGAUAUCUUGGGAUUAUCCAGCAUGUGCUCCAGGCCACGGAGGCAUCAGACAUCACUCUAAGGUCCUGACCUGCCUG